rnacentral:rRNA from 1 species
AUUGAACGCUGGCGGCAGGCUUAACACAUGCAAGUCGAGCGGAGUGAUGGUGCUUGCACUAUCACUUAGCGGCGGACGGGUGAGUAAUGCUUAGGAAUCUGCCAUUUAGUGGGGGACAACAUUCCGAAAGGAAUGCUAAUACCGCAUACGUCCUACGGGAGAAAGCAGGGGAUCUUCGGACCUUGCGCUAAAUGAUGAGCCUAAGUCGGAUUAGCUAGUGGGUGGGGUAAAGGCCUACCAAGGCAACGAUCUGUAGCGGGUCUGAGAGGAUGAUCCGCCACACUGGGACUGAGACACGGCCCAGACUCCUACGGGAGGCAGCAGUGGGGAAUAUUGGACAAUGGGCGGAAGCCUGAUCCAGCCAUGCCGCGUGUGUGAAGAAGGCCUCUUGGUUGUAACGCACUUUAAGCGAGGAGGAGGCUCUCCUAGUUAAUACCUAGGAAGAGUGGACGUUACUCGCAGAAUAAGCACCGGCUAACUCUGUGCCAGCCGCCGCCGUAAUAC